rnacentral:rRNA from 1 species
AUACGGAGGGUGCAAGCGUUACUCGGAAUCACUGGGCGUAAAGCGUACGUAGGCGGUUCGUUAAGUUAGAUGUGAAAGCCCCGGGCUUAACCUGGGAACUGCAUUUAAAACUGGCGGACUAGAGUUGAGUAGAGGGGAGUGGAAUUUCAGGUGUAGCGGUGAAAUGCGUAGAGAUCUGAAGGAACACCAGUGGCGAAGGCGACUCCCUGGACUCGAACUGACGCUGAGGUACGAAAGCGUGGGUAGCAAACGGCAUUAGAAACCCCAGUAGUCC